UGUAUUUCCUAGAUCAUAAUUCUUCAACUGGAGGAUACCAAUGGAGAUAUUGGAGAGGAAUGGGACAGGAGAAGGAGGAGAUCAUGGGAGGUAGAAGAGGAAAGUGGAAGUAGAUAAAGGGUGACAUCAUUUUUCAUCUGUACAUCACAGCUGGUCCCAAGAUGUUUUCCAUCAAGAUGAUAUGAAAUGACUGUGACAGGAAGAAGACAGGAUUACAAGAUUUCUGGGUCUUUGAGCAUAAAGUUUGAUGCUGUUUCAUUCUCCCAGUCGUUAACUCAAGACCAAAGGUAAAUUGCAAUGGAUAGGUAUAAGAGAAGCUAAAUGGAGUUUCCUGCUAUUUGUUUAACUUUUAACUAUUGAGAAUGGAGAAAGGGAUGGAAUUACAAAAGAAGGUAUGUAAUGGUAACAUUAAGAUUCCUGAAACACAAGCAGUCUGUGCAGAAUGCAUCAACUCCUGGGGAAGAUUAAGAAGAGCAGGGAGGCCGGGCGGUGGUGGCGCACGCCUUUAAUCCCAGCACUUGGGAGGCAGAGCCAGGCAGAUCUCUGUGAG